rnacentral:rRNA from 1 species
UACGUAGGGUGCGAGCGUUGUCCGGAAUUAUUGGGCGUAAAGAGCUUGUAGGCGGUCUGUCGCGUCUGCUGUGAAAAUCCGGGGCUCAACCCCGGACUUGCAGUGGGUACGGGCAGACUAGAGUGAUGUAGGGGAGACUGGAAUUCCUGGUGUAGCGGUGAAAUGCGCAGAUAUCAGGAGGAACACCGGUGGGCGAAGGCGGGACUCUGGGCCGAUACUGACGCUGGAGGAGCGAAAGCGUGGGGAGCGAACAGG